rnacentral:lncRNA from 1 species
GGCUAAAAGACAAAAAUAAUACAGCAAUCUAAACUGAGAAUAAAUAACUGAAAUAUGCUCUGUAAAAUAGAAUAAGGACUGAAAAGCAUUCUGUUUUAUUAGACUUUAAAUCAAGUUGUACAUAUGGAAAGAUCACUGUACCAAAAUAUCAUGAAAUAGCAUGAAGAAAGAACUAGGCAGCUGUAUGCAAUCAAAGAGUUUCACUGAGUCCUGUGCACACUGACAGAGCCAGGUAGUACAGCUGAGCAGUUCUGCUGCCAUUUCACUGCUGCCAGAGAAGUGAAGCACCUGAAACAAAAGCUCAUCGUGAAUCCAACAUCAUGUGUGCAGCGUCUCUCCACUGACAUGCUGACACAUCAAAACUGCCUGUGUUUUAUCACUGCAUGGACUCUACAAGAGAAAUAUUUGAUUUGAUCUAACAGGCAGUUGUAUGAAUCGACAGGUAAAACACAUAAAUCCUCCUGGGACACCCCUGUGCUUUGCUUUGAGCUCUUUCAAGUCACCAUUUAUUCGUGUAGUUUGAUCUAAACCUUCUCCUUUUGUGUGUUGUCUGGAAUCGCU